GAGAGAGAAGCUUUGAGUUGAUGAAUGAAUCUAUGUGAAUUAAGAGAAAAGUGUAGAGUGAGUUGAGUCUGAGUUUAAUGAAUGAAUGGGUCCUUGAGAUCAUGAAGGUUUAACUGAAUUUAUAGGGGAGUGAGUUAAUAAAAGGAUUUGAGCUCUAUUAACUUUAUCAGUUAGAAAUGAUUCAAAGUUGUUAGAAGUUAUGUAACUCUGUUAGUUUCGGUUAGAAGUGAGUUGAAAGUUAGUUAGGUUAGAUUCAGUUAACGUGAAAUGUUAAAUGAUCUGUUAGUUACAUGUUAGUUCAGUUAGUGGUGAAACUCAAUUUGUAUUAGGUUGAAAUGUUUGGAUUAUAAGAUGUAAUGUUCAGUUAAAUAGUUAAACUCAACUUUCUG
rnacentral:lncRNA from 1 species